rnacentral:tRNA from 1 species
AUUAUAGUGGCAGAGGAUAUGCGUAGGUUUUAAGCGCCUAAGAUAAGUUUACUUCUAUUUCC